AGGUGACGAUCUUUUGGGCGGAACCAAAAGUCGGGAAACUUUGGUUCCGCCCGGAUGUUUCCGUCCAGACCGAAGAACGGAAACACCGGACAUCCGGCAGAUUUGCGGAGGCUGUAAUCAGCCGAUUGGGCACAGCUGUGCCUAGUUAAAAGAGAUCGCCAGGCAAUUGGAUAACUGAAGCACAGAAAGGAGUAUUUAAAGCACAGUUAAAUGACAGUUCAGGAGUUUCGGGCACGAGAGGGGGAUUGACACGGGGAGAGCUCCUCUGCUUAGGGCAGGAGAGGUAAAUACGUACCUUUUGAAGAGCCCGCAGGCUCUGUUGAUCCGGGCUGCGCUAGAAGCGCGCGGAAAGAAGACAGGAGCUGCCUGGGGUGAAAGAAAGGCGAUACGUGAGUGGAGAAAAGGAGCACCCCGAAGAGAGCAUUGUGCUGUCAAGCCUGUGCUUAGUGUGUGCUGGGAAACGGAGCUGUGCUCAUUUUUGGAUGUGGUGGCUGUCUGUGUUUUUCUCUCUCUCUCUCGUUUCAGUCUGUAUUGUGGACCUGCUGGAGUCAACAGAAAAGCCCUAUGGGUAAGAAGGAACUUUGUUCUAACCAACAUUGAAGGAGUAAAGCAGGAAGAGAUAUUGACCGUUUGGUACAACGUAAAUAAAGGCUAUCCGCCGUGAGUAUACCCUUUCUGUGUGGAAUAACUGGCAAAAAUUAACUUGUGCAGCCAUUGGAAACCUCCAGGAAAAGGAGGGCGGCCCUACCCCUAUAAGAGUGUGGUGGGCGAGCCGUGAGAAGUCAAACUUCAAACAGCCGCCGCAACGAGACUUAUUGUGGUCGUAUCUCCCAUCGCCUUAUCGUAGCCCAAGCGCAGUGGAGGACACCGGGCGCUUCCCUUGUUGUGGUGCACUUAUAGUGUGGUGAGUGAGAUUGUGUAAUAAAUCUUUUUCACGUUUGGAGUGGUGCUGUGUAUUGCUGUGGGUUGCUGUGUGUCUUGUAGACGAAGCCCCGCAUCAUCCAUUUUCUUCCACUGGGCAGAGGACGGAAAGGCCAACGACUACAGAAAUUACUGUUACCAUAUGUAGUGUGCUGUUUGGAGUACGAAGGGACGCAGACUAAGAGCCGUCCGUGACCGUGAGUAAACCAAUGGAAACAUUCGUGGUGUGAACUUACCUGUGUCUGUUGUGUCGCAGAGUCAGAGGCGAAAGGGUCCGCCGCCCCGUGGUCUCUACGAAAAGGGCGCCCCCGUCGAGGAAUCGAUCGGCCUAUGGGCAUUGGAGAUAGGGCAGCGCUCGACCGGGUGAGGUGGUGUGUGACCUUCGCCCCUCUGCUGACCUACGGAGGAGAACGUGAUACCUACCCAGAAAGUUGUAAACAGCAAAGCCGGUGAGAAAUACUCGAAGUCUCAGUAACAGUGUCUUUGUGUCCUGGCGGCCACCUGUGGAGAGAGAGCAGAACGAAAGUGAACCAUUGAAGAGCAGACUGUGAACGUGAUACCUACCUGAAAAGCUGUAAACAGCAGAGCCGGUGAGAAAUACUCGAAGUCUCAGUAACAGUGUCUUUGUGUCCUAGCGGCCACCUGUGGAGAGAGAGAGAACGAAAGUGAAUCAUUGAGGAGCAGACUGUGAACGUGAUACCUACCCAGAAAGCUGUAAACAGCAGAGCCGGUGAGAAAUACUCGAAGCCUCAGUAACAGUGUCUUUGUGUCCUAGCGGCCACCUGUGGAGAGAGAGCAGAACGAAAGUGAAACAUUGAAGAGCAGACUGUGAACGUGAUACCUACCCAGAAAGCUGUAAACAGCAGAGCCGUGGCCUCCUGUGGAGAGAACGGAAAACGAGAAGGAACAUGAGGAAAAUGGACUGUGUGAAGAUACAGUGGUGGUGGAGGAGAGCCUAGAGUGGCCAUUGUUUUAAGUCCCCCGUUCCCCUUCCUUAUUUAAUGCUUUUAAGUAAUUUAAUAAAGGAUAUUUUAAUUUUAUGCUUACCUUGUGUGUCUGGUCAUUGGGGUGGCUUUGGGAAUCUCCUCGAGGUGGAGAAAGGGGCGUGACCUUAUUUACAUCUGGGUCCACCCCUACCUGUGACAGAUUUGGCGUAGUCGGCAGUCCACCUCGGGUUGAGACCAAAGUCCCCCAAUGGCCUACCACAUUUCUUUUAAAGAACAGCUCCCAUCAACACUCCAUCAGUCCCCAAACAACGCGUUCUCGGGACGAGAACGGAUUGGCGGGGGAGGAUGUCACAAGGUGACGAUCUUUUGGGCGGAACCAAAAGUCGGGAAACUUUGGUUCCGCCCGGAUGUUUCCGUCCAGACCGAAGAACGGAAACACCGGACAUCCGGCAGAUUUGCGGAGGCUGUAAUCAGCCGAUUGGGCACAGCUGUGCCUAGUUAAAAGAGAUCGCCAGGCAAUUGGAUAACUGAAGCACAGAAAGGAGUAUUUAAAGCACAGUUAAAUGACAGUUCAGGAGUUUCGGGCACGAGAGGGGGAUUGACACGGGGAGAGCUCCUCUGCUUAGGGCAGGAGAGGUAAAUACGUACCUUUUGAAGAGCCCGCAGGCUCUGUUGAUCCGGGCUGCGCUAGAAGCGCGCGGAAAGAAGACAGGAGCUGCCUGGGGUGAAAGAAAGGCGAUACGUGAGUGGAGAAAAGGAGCACCCCGAAGAGAGCAUUGUGCUGUCAAGCCUGUGCUUAGUGUGUGCUGGGAAACGGAGCUGUGCUCAUUUUUGGAUGUGGUGGCUGUCUGUGUUUUUCUCUCUCUCUCUCGUUUCAGUCUGUAUUGUGGACCUGCUGGAGUCAACAGAAAAGCCCUAUGGGUAAGAAGGAACUUUGUUCUAACCAACAUUGAAGGAGUAAAGCAGGAAGAGAUAUUGACCGUUUGGUACAACGUAAAUAAAGGCUAUCCGCCGUGAGUAUACCCUUUCUGUGUGGAAUAACUGGCAAAAAUUAACUUGUGCAGCCAUUGGAAACCUCCAGGAAAAGGAGGGCGGCCCUACCCCUAUAAGAGUGUGGUGGGCGAGCCGUGAGAAGUCAAACUUCAAACAGCCGCCGCAACGAGACUUAUUGUGGUCGUAUCUCCCAUCGCCUUAUCGUAGCCCAAGCGCAGUGGAGGACACCGGGCGCUUCCCUUGUUGUGGUGCACUUAUAGUGUGGUGAGUGAGAUUGUGUAAUAAAUCUUUUUCACGUUUGGAGUGGUGCUGUGUAUUGCUGUGGGUUGCUGUGUGUCUUGUAGACGAAGCCCCGCAUCAUCCAUUUUCUUCCACUGGGCAGAGGACGGAAAGGCCAACGACUACAGAAAUUACUGUUACCAUAUGUAGUGUGCUGUUUGGAGUACGAAGGGACGCAGACUAAGAGCCGUCCGUGACCGUGAGUAAACCAAUGGAAACAUUCGUGGUGUGAACUUACCUGUGUCUGUUGUGUCGCAGAGUCAGAGGCGAAAGGGUCCGCCGCCCCGUGGUCUCUACGAAAAGGGCGCCCCCGUCGAGGAAUCGAUCGGCCUAUGGGCAUUGGAGAUAGGGCAGCGCUCGACCGGGUGAGGUGGUGUGUGACCUUCGCCCCUCUGCUGACCUACGGAGGAGAACGUGAUACCUACCCAGAAAGUUGUAAACAGCAAAGCCGCGGCCACCUGUGGAGAGAGAGAGAACGAGAGUGAAUCAUUGAAGAGCAAACUGUGAACGUGAUACCUACCCAGAAAGCUGUAAACAGCAGAGCCGGUGAGAAAUACUUGAAGUCGCAGUAACAGUGUCUUUGUGUCCUAGCGACCACCUGUGGAGAGAGAGAGAACGAGAGUGAAUCAUUGAAGAGCAAACUGUGAACGUGAUACUUACCCAGAAAGCUGUAAACAGCAGAGCCGCGGCCACCUGUGGAGAGAGAGAGAACGAGAGUGAAUCAUUGAAGCGCAAACUGUGAACGUGAUACCUACCCAGAAAGCUGUAAACAGCAGAGCCGGUGAGAAAUACUCGAAGUUUCAGUAACAGUGUCUUUGGGUCCUAGCGGCCACCUGUGGAGAGAGAACAGGACGAGAGUGAAUCAUCGAAGAGCAAACUGUGAACGUGCUACCUACCCAGAGAGCUGUGAGCAGCAGAACCGUGACUAUCUGUGGGGCACAAGGCGAACGUGGGCGGACGUACGACAGGGAACGUAAGGGCACGUGGGGCGAGGACCCCCUGCCGACCCGAGGAAAGAUACACCGACAGUGGAGAUCCUCCUUACCAGUCACACCAAAAUUAUUCUGCCUCCAGGACGGAAGAAGGAGGGCGCCACGGUUAGCAGGGUCCAGGCCGGAGCCUGACGUUUCCCUUUCCCCCCCCAGCUUAUGGUGGUUGGCACCCUCGUUGCCCUUGGCCUGUCUGCCGUGGCUGCAGCCUCCCUGGAGGGAGAAGAAGAGGCCUAUUAGUUUUAAUUUCCCCUUUCCCCAAAUUCCCAGUUCUUUUAAAUAUUUAAACUAAAUAAAGCUUGUUUUAAAUUUUACUUACCUGUUCCCGUGUUUGUCUGGUCAUUGGGUUGGCUUUGGGGACCUCCUCGAGGUGGGAGUUGCA